UACAGAGGGGGCGAGCGUUGUUCGGAAUUACUGGGCGUAAAGGGCGCGUAGGCGGCCUGCUAAGUCGGACGUGAAAUCCCUCGGCUCAACCGGGGAACUGCGUCCGAUACUGGCGGGCUUGAAUUCGGGAGAGGGAUGUGGAAUUCCAGGUGUAGCGGUGAAAUGCGUAGAUAUCUGGAGGAACACCGGUGGCGAAGGCGGCAUCCUGGACCGACAUUGACGCUGAGGCGCGAAAGCCAGGGGAGCAAACGGG
rnacentral:rRNA from 1 species